rnacentral:rRNA from 1 species
GACGAACGCUGGCGGCGUGCUUAACACAUGCAAGUCGAACGGAAAGGCCCUGCUUUUGUGGGGUGCUCGCGUGGCGAACGGGUGUGUAACACGUGAGUAUCCUUGCCUUGACUGUGGGAUAACUUCAGGAAACUGGGGCUAAUACCGGCUAGGAGCUCCUGCUGCAUGGUGGGGGUUGGAAAGCUUCGGCGGAUGGGGAUGGACUCGCGGUUUACCAGCUUGUGGGUGGAGGAGUCGCCUAUCAAGGCAUUGACAGGUAGCCGGCAUGAGAGGUUGACCGGCCACAUUGGGACUGAGGGACGGCGCAGACUGCUACGGGAGGCAGCAGUGGGAAAUAUUGUACAAUGGGCGGAAGCCUGAUGAGGCGGCGCCGCGUGCGGGAUGAAGGCCUUCUGGGUGUAAACCGCAGUAACCUGUGACGAAGCGUGAUUGACGUUAAUGGGUAAAGAAGCACCGGCUAACUACGUG